rnacentral:rRNA from 1 species
CCCGGGGAUUAGUGGCGAACGGGUGAGUAACACGUGAGUAACCUGCCCUUGACUCUGGGAUAAGCCUGGGAAACUGGGUCUAAUACCGGAUAUGACUCCUCAUCGCAUGGUGGGGGGUGGAAAGCUUUUGCGGUUUUGGAUGGACUCGCGGCCUAUCAGCUUGUUGGUGAGGUAAUGGCUCACCAAGGCGACGACGGGUAGCCGGCCUGAGAGGGUGACCGGCCACACUGGGACUGAGACACGGCCCAGACUCCUGCGGGAGGCAGCAGUGGGGAAUAUUGCACAAUGGGCGAAAGCCUGAUGCAGCGACGCCGCGUGAGGGAUGACGGCCUUCGGGUUGUAAACCUCUUUCAGUAGGGAAGAAGCGAAAGUGACGGUACCUGCAGAAGAAGCGCCGGCUAACUACGUGCCAGCAGCCGCGGUAAUACGUAGGGCGCAAGCGUUAUCCGGAAUUAUUGGGCGUAAAGAGCUCGUAGGCGGUUUGUCGCGUCUGCCGUGAAAGUCCGGGGCUCAACUCCGGAUCUGCGGUGGGUACGGGCAGACUAGAGUGAUGUAGGGGAGACUGGAAUUCCUGGUGUAGCGGUGAAAUGCGCAGAUAUCAGGAGGAACACCGAUGGCGAAGGCAGGUCUCUGGGCAUUAACUGACGCUGAGGAGCGAAAGCAUGGGGAGCGAACAGGAUUAGAUACCCUGGUAGUCCAUGCCGUAAACGUUGGGCACUAGGUGUGGGGGACAUUCCACGUUUUCCGCGCCGUAGCUAACGCAUUAAGUGCCCCGCCUGGGGAGUACGGCCGCAAGGCUAAAACUCAAAGGAAUUGACGGGGGCCCGCACAAGCGGCGGAGCAUGCGGAUUAAUUCGAUGCAACGCGAAGAACCUUACCAAGGCUUGACAUGGACCCGGACCGCCGCAAAAAAUGUGGUUUCUCCUUUU